CCUACGGGUGGCUGCAGUGAGGAAUAUUGGUCAAUGGACGAGAGUCUGAACCAGCCAAGCAGCGUGAAGGAUGACGGCCCUAUGGGUUGUAAACUUCUUUUAUAUGGGAAUAAAUCAGGGUACGCGUACCCUCAUGUAUGUACCACAUGAAUAAGGAUCGGCAAAAUCCGUGCCAGCAGCCGCGGUAAUACGGAGGAUCCGAGCGUUAUCCGGAUUUAUUGGGUUUAAAGGGAGGGUAGGUGGAUUGUUAAGUCAGUGGUGAAAGUGCGCGGCUCAAACGGCAAAUUGCAGUUGAAACUGGCAGUCUUGAGUGCAGGAGAGGUGGGCGGAAUUCGUGGUGUAGCGGUGAAAUGCUUAGAUAUCACGAAGAACUCCGAUUGCGAAGGCAGCUCACUGGACUGCAACUGACGCUGAUGCACGAAAGCGUGGGUAUCAAACAGGAUUAGAUACCCUAGUAGUC
rnacentral:rRNA from 1 species